rnacentral:rRNA from 1 species
CCUACGGGAGGCAGCAGUGGGGAAUCUUGCGCAAUGGGCGAAAGCCUGACGCAGCCAUGCCGCGUGAAUGAUGAAGGUCUUAGGAUUGUAAAAUUCUUUCACCGGGGACGAUAAUGACGGUACCCGGAGAAGAAGCCCCGGCUAACUUCGUGCCAGCAGCCGCGGUAAUACGAAGGGGGCUAGCGUUGCUCGGAAUUACUGGGCGUAAAGGGAGCGUAGGCGGAUAGUUUAGUCAGAGGUGAAAGCCCAGGGCUCAACCUUGGAAUUGCCUUUGAUACUGGCUAUCUUGAGUAUGGGAGAGGUAUGCGGAACUCCGAGUGUAGAGGUGAAAUUCGUAGAUAUUCGGAAGAACACCAGUGGCGAAGGCGGCAUACUGGCCCAUUACUGACGCUGAGGCUCGAAAGCGUGGGGAGCAAACAGGAUUAGAUACCCUGGUAGUCCACGCUGUAAACGAUGAGUGCUAGUUGUCGGCAUGCAUGCAUGUCGGUGACGCAGCUACGCAUAAGACACUCCGCCGUCGGGAGGUACGGUCGCGAAGAAGUUAAACUACAAUAGAGUAGACGCGUGAGACGUGACGACGGACGACGACGAGGGAGGAGG